rnacentral:rRNA from 1 species
CGAACGCUGGCGGCGCGCCUAACACAUGCAAGUCGAACGGAGCUGAGAGAAGCUUGCUUUUCUUAGCUUAGUGGCGAACGGGUGAGUAACGCGUGAGUAACCUGCCCUGGAGUGGGGGACAACAGCUGGAAACGACUGCUAAUACCGCAUAAGCCCACGAUCCGGCCUCGGAUUGAGGGAAAAGGAUUUAUUCGCUUCAGGAUGGACUCGCGUCCAAUUAGCUAGUUGGUGAGGUAACGGCCCACCAAGGCGACGAUUGGUAGCCGGACUGAGAGGUUGAACGGCCACAUUGGGACUGAGACACGGCCCAGACUCCUACGGGAAGCAGCAGUGGGGGAUAUUGCACAAUGGGGGAAACCCUGAUGCAGCGACGCCGCGUGGAGGAAGAAGGUUUUCGGAUUGUAAACUCCUGUCGUUAGGGACGAUAAUGACGGUACCUAACAAGAAAGCACCGGCUAACUACGUG